GUCUACAGCCAUGCCACCCUGACCGCGCCCGAUCUCAUCUGAUCUCGGAAGCUAAGCAGGGUUGGGCCUGGUUAGUACUUGGAUGGGAGAACCUUGUGUCCCUGGGUUUGUAGAUG
rnacentral:rRNA from 1 species